rnacentral:rRNA from 1 species
GUAGGGAAUAUUGGGCAAUGGAUGCAAGUCUGACCCAGCCAUCCCGCGUGCCGGAAGAAGGCCCUCAGGGUUGUAAACGGCUUUUGACGGUGAAGAAUCGACAGGAUGCGUCCUGUUUUGACGGUAGCCGUUGAAUAAGCACCGGCUAACUCCGUGCCAGCAGCCGCGGUAAUACGGAGGGUGCGAGCGUUGUCCGGAUGUAUUGGGUUUAAAGGGUGCGUAGGCUGGAAGGUCAGUCAGCGGUGAAAAGCUGUCGCUUAACGAUAGUCUUGCCGCAGAUACUUCCUUUCUUGGAUGAGGAGGAGGCCACUGGAACGGAUGGUGUAGCGGUGAAAUGCAUAGAUAUCAUCCAGAACACCGAUUGCGAAGGCAGGUGUCUGUACCUUAAUCGACGCUGAUGCAAUAAAGCAUGGGGAGCAAACAGGAGUAGAAACCCGGGUAGUAC